AGAGUUUGAUCCUGGCUCAGAUUGAACGCUGGCGGCGUGCCUAACACAUGCAAGUCGAGCGGUAACAGGUGUAGCAAUACAUGCUGACGAGCGGCGAACGGGUGAGUAAUGCUUCGGAAUCUACCCAAUGGCGGGGAAUAACUAGCCGAAAGGUUAGCUAAUACCGCAUAAGCCCUACGGGGGAAAGCAGGGGAUCGUAAGACCUUGCACCGAUGGAUGAGCCGAAGCCGGAUUAGCUAGUUGGUAGGGUAACGGCCUACCAAGGCGACGAUCCGUAGCUGGUCUGAGAGGACGACCAGCCACACUGGGACUGAGACACGGCCCAGACUCCUACGGGAGGCAGCAGUGGGGAAUAUUGGACAAUGGGGGAAACCCUGAUCCAGCGACGCCGCGUGUGUGAAGAAGGCCUGCGGGUUGUAAAGCACUUUUAGUGGGGAUGAAAAGUUCAGGGCUAAUAUCCCUGGAUCUUGACCUAACCCAAAGAAAAAGCACCGGCUAACUCUGUGCCAGCAGCCGCGGUAAUACAGAGGGUGCAAGCGUUAAUCGGAAUUACUGGGCGUAAAGCGUGCGUAGACGGUUAUGUAAGUCAGGUGUGAAAGCCCCGGGCUCAACCUGGGAAUGCCAUUUGAGACUGCAUAGCUAGGGUACGGAAGAGGGAAGCGGAAUUUCAGGUGUAGCGGUGGAAUGCGUAGAUAUCUGAAGGAACACCAGUGGCGAAAGCGGCUUCCUGGUCCAGUACCGACGUUCAGGCACGAAAGCGUGGGGAGCAAACAGGAUUAGAUACCCCGGUAGUCC
rnacentral:rRNA from 1 species